rnacentral:rRNA from 1 species
AUUGAACGCUGGCGGCAGGCUUAACACAUGCAAGUCGAGCGGAGAUGAGGUGCUUGCACCUUAUCUUAGCGGCGGACGGGUGAGUAAUGCUUAGGAAUCUGCCUAUUAGUGGGGGACAGCAUUCCGAAAGGAAUGCUAAUACCGCAUACGCCCUACGGGGGAAAGCAGGGGAUCUUCGGACCUUGCGCUAAUAGAUGAGCCUAAGUCGGAUUAGCUAGUUGGUGGGGUAAAAGCCUACCAAGGCGACGAUCUGUAGCGGGUCUGAGAGGAUGAUCCGCCACACUGGGACUGAGACACGGCCCAGACUCCUACGGGAGGCAGCAGUGGGGAAUAUUGGACAAUGGGCGGAAGCCUGAUCCAGCCAUGCCGCGUGUGUGAAGAAGGCCUUUUGGUUGUAAAGCACUUUAAGCGAGGAGGAGGCUACCUGGAUUAAUACUCUAGGAUAGUGGACGUUACUCGCAGAAUAAGCACCGGCUAACUCUGUGCCAGCCGCCGCGGUAACAC